rfam:Camelus ferus unplaced genomic scaffold scaffold760, whole genome shotgun sequence.
GGGGGUAGAGCUCAGUGGUAAAGCGUGUGCUUAGCAUGCACGAGGUCCUGGGUUCAAUACCCAGUAGUGCCA